GGAGCUGAGCGGGCGGUCGCGCCUCGAAAGAGGUGAGGAAAGUCCGGCCUCCUCCAGGAAGGGUGGUGGCUAACAGCCACCGGGGGUGACCCCAGGGAAAGUGCCACAGAAAAUAAACCGCCCCUUCGGGGGUAAGGGUGAAACGGCGAGGUAAGAGCUCACCGCGGAACCGGUGACGGUUCUGGCAGGGUAAACCCCACUCGGAGCAAGCUUGAGCAGUCGUCUAGUUCCUGGGCAAUGGCGACGGGUAAAGUGCAGGAGGCGUCCAGCAAUGGGCGUCCCAGAUGGAUGAUCGUCCAAGACAAAAGCCGGCUUACAGCUCAGCUCCUUUU
rnacentral:RNase_P_RNA from 1 species